rnacentral:rRNA from 1 species
GUGAGGAAUAUUGGUCAAUGGCCGGAAGGCUGAACCAGCCAUGCCGCGUGCAGGAAUGAGGCCCUAUGGGUCGUAAACUGCUUUUGUGGCGGAGCAAUAAGGUGUACGUGUACACCGAUGAGAGUACGUCACGAAUAAGCAUCGGCUAACUCCGUGCCAGCAGCCGCGGUAAUACGGAGGAUGCGAGCGUUAUCCGGAUUUAUUGGGUUUAAAGGGUGCGUAGGCUGGCGCUCAAGUCAGGGGUGAAAUCCCGGAGCCUAACUCCGGAACUGCCCUUGAUACUGUGUGUCUUGAAUUCGGAUGCCGUGGGAGGAAUGAGUAGUGUAGCGGUGAAAUGCAUAGAUAUUACUCAGAACACCGAUUGCGAAGGCAUCUCACGAAUCCGAGAUUGACGCUGAGGCACGAAAGCGUGGGGAUCAAACAGG